CCUACGGGAGGCAGCAGUGAGGAAUAUUGGUCAAUGGCCGGAAGGCUGAACCAGCCAUGCCGCGUGAAGGUCAGUGCUCUAUGGGCGUUAAACUUCUUUUGUUCGGGAGCAAUAAUGCUCACGUGUGGCCAGCCGAGAGUACCGUACGAAUCAGCAUCGGCUAACUCCGUGCCAGCAGCCGCGGUAAUACCUGGGAUGCAAGCGUUAUCCGGAUUUAUUGGGUUUAAAGGGUGCGUAGGCUGUGAGGUAGGUCCGCGGGGAAAUGCCCCCGCUCAACGGGGUGAAGUGCCGUUGAUACUGCCGGGAUGGAAUGCGGAUGCCGUAGGAGGAAUGUGUGGUGUAGCGGUGAAAUGCAUAGAUA
rnacentral:rRNA from 1 species